GUGGCGACGGGUGAUAACACGUGACUAACCUACCCUGACAUGGGGGAUAACCUCGGGAAACCGGGGCUAAUACCGCAUAAUGUCACGGCCGGAAUGCUGUGGUCCAAAGGAGCAAUCCGUUGCAGGAGGGGGUCGCGGCCGAUUAGCUAGUUGGUGGGGUAACGGACCACCAAGGCGAUGAUCGGUAGCCGGCCUGAGAGGGCGCACGGACACACUGGAACUGAAACACGGUCCAGACUCCUACGGGAGGCAGCAGUGGGGAAUUCUGCGCAAUGGGGGAAACCCUGGCGCAGCAACGCCGCGUGGAGGAUGAAGUCCCUUGCGACGUCAACUCCUUUCGAUCGGGACGAAUAAUGACGGUACCGGAAGAAGAAGCCCCGGCUAACUCCGUGCCAGCAGCCGCGGUAAUACGGGGGG
rnacentral:rRNA from 1 species